UCUAAGAUUUGAUGGUCAGUUCUUAAUCAGUUUAAUGAUUUUUCAUCUUGAUUAAUGUGACACUUUAUACGAUACACUAGUUGCACAGUUGAACUGCAAUAGCAUUUACAAGUUUAUCCAAAUAAUCUAAGACCAUUAAUCAAUGCCUUACAUAAAUUAAGAACAUAUGUUUAUAGCUGGAUCUUGUGAGAAACUUUAUAUUGGUCAGUCGUUUUAAAGAGUUUGAAAUAACAAGUUGCAUUAUAUUUGAGAAUGAAAUAACAUGUAGUUUUAUA
rnacentral:lncRNA from 1 species